UUAAAAUAUUACCUUUUAAUUUAUUAAAAUCAUUGCCAUUUAUUUAUUUUGACACAAUUAUUUAUGUUACUAAAAUUAUCAUGCAUAUUUAUUGUUAUUUUGUAUAUUAUUUUUAUUAACUUUUAGUAUAUUGUUUUAUCAUAAAUAUGAUCUAAUUUUCAUAUAUUGUUCAUCAAAUAUUUCUACCUAUUGUAUUUACAGCUUUUCAAAGUUGACAGCUUGGAAUUAUUCACAUAUGAAAUUUAUAUAUGUGGUAUUUUAUUAAACUAUUAAAUAAUUUUAAUUAUUCUCAUUUUGAUAACUCCACUUAAGUAGUUUGUGCUUAGCCAG
rnacentral:misc_RNA from 1 species